CUUCAGCCAAUUAAGCUGACUCUGCUUUUUUCCCCUUGGGCUGAGAGAGCAGUGGCGUAAACUGCAGCCUAAUUGGUAUGUCUGUACCCUGUUACUUAUUUAGGUGACCCUAAGUCACCUGGGAGACUGCC